UGGGGAAUUUUGGACAAUGGGCGAAAGCCUGAUCCAGCCAUGCCGCGUGAGUGAAGAAGGCCUUCGGGUUGUAAAGCUCUUUUAGUCGGAAAGAAAGAGUUGCAAUGAAUAAUUGUGAUUUAUGACGGUACCGACAGAAAAAGCACCGGCUAACUACGUGCCAGCAGCCGCGGUAAUACGUAGGGUGCGAGCGUUAAUCGGAAUUACUGGGCGUAAAGGGUGCGCAGGCGGUCUUGCAAGUCAGAUGUGAAAGCCCCGGGCUUAACCUGGGAAUUGCGUUUGAAACUACAAGACUAGAGUGCAGCAGAGGGGAGUGGAAUUCCAUGUGUAGCAGGGAAAUGCGUAGAGAUGUGGAAGAACACCGAUGGCGAAGGCAGCUCCCUGGGUUGACACUGACGCUCAUGCACGAAAGCGUGGGGAGCAAACA
rnacentral:rRNA from 1 species